GGGUUGUGAGGUUAAGCGACUAAGCGUACACGGUGGAUGCCCUGGCAGUCAGAGGCGAUGAAGGACGUGCUAAUCUGCGAUAAGCGUCGGUAAGGUGAUAUGAACCGUUAUAACCGGCGAUUUCCGAAUGGGGAAACCCAGUGUGUUUCGACACACUAUCAUUAACUGAAUCCAUAGGUUAAUGAGGCGAACCGGGGGAACUGAAACAUCUAAGUACCCCGAGGAAAAGAAAUCAACCGAGAUUCCCCCAGUAGCGGCGAGCGAACGGGGAGCAGCCCAGAGCCUGAAUCAGUGUGUGUGUUAGUGGAAGCGUCUGGAAAGGCGCGCGAUACAGGGUGACAGCCCCGUACACAAAAAUGCACAUGCUGUGAGCUCGAUGAGUAGGGCGGGACACGUGGUAUCCUGUCUGAAUAUGGGGGGACCAUCCUCCAAGGCUAAAUACUCCUGACUGACCGAUAGUGAACCAGUACCGUGAGGGAAAGGCGAAAAGAACCCCGGCGAGGGGAGUGAAAAAGAACCUGAAACCGUGUACGUACAAGCAGUGGGAGCACGCUUAGGCGUGUGACUGCGUACCUUUUGUAUAAUGGGUCAGCGACUUAUAUUCUGUAGCAAGGUUAACCGAAUAGGGGAGCCGAAGGGAAACCGAGUCUUAACUGGGCGUUAAGUUGCAGGGUAUAGACCCGAAACCCGGUGAUCUAGCCAUGGGCAGGUUGAAGGUUGGGUAACACUAACUGGAGGACCGAACCGACUAAUGUUGAAAAAUUAGCGGAUGACUUGUGGCUGGGGGUGAAAGGCCAAUCAAACCGGGAGAUAGCUGGUUCUCCCCGAAAGCUAUUUAGGUAGCGCCUCGUGAAUUCAUCUCCGGGGGUAGAGCACUGUUUCGGCAAGGGGGUCAUCCCGACUUACCAACCCGAUGCAAACUGCGAAUACCGGAGAAUGUUAUCACGGGAGACACACGGCGGGUGCUAACGUCCGUCGUGAAGAGGGAAACAACCCAGACCGCCAGCUAAGGUCCCAAAGUCAUGGUUAAGUGGGAAACGAUGUGGGAAGGCCCAGACAGCCAGGAUGUUGGCUUAGAAGCAGCCAUCAUUUAAAGAAAGCGUAAUAGCUCACUGGUCGAGUCGGCCUGCGCGGAAGAUGUAACGGGGCUAAACCAUGCACCGAAGCUGCGGCAGCGACGCUGAUGCGUUGUUGGGUAGGGGAGCGUUCUGUAAGCCUGCGAAGGUGUGCUGUGAGGCAUGCUGGAGGUAUCAGAAGUGCGAAUGCUGACAUAAGUAACGAUAAAGCGGGUGAAAAGCCCGCUCGCCGGAAGACCAAGGGUUCCUGUCCAACGUUAAUCGGGGCAGGGUGAGUCGACCCCUAAGGCGAGGCCGAAAGGCGUAGUCGAUGGGAAACAGGUUAAUAUUCCUGUACUUGGUGUUACUGCGAAGGGGGGACGGAGAAGGCUAUGUUGGCCGGGCGACGGUUGUCCCGGUUUAAGCGUGUAGGCUGGUUUUCCAGGCAAAUCCGGAAAAUCAAGGCUGAGGCGUGAUGACGAGGCACUACGGUGCUGAAGCAACAAAUGCCCUGCUUCCAGGAAAAGCCUCUAAGCAUCAGGUAACAUCAAAUCGUACCCCAAACCGACACAGGUGGUCAGGUAGAGAAUACCAAGGCGCUUGAGAGAACUCGGGUGAAGGAACUAGGCAAAAUGGUGCCGUAACUUCGGGAGAAGGCACGCUGAUAUGUAGGUGAAGUCCCUCGCGGAUGGAGCUGAAAUCAGUCGAAGAUACCAGCUGGCUGCAACUGUUUAUUAAAAACACAGCACUGUGCAAACACGAAAGUGGACGUAUACGGUGUGACGCCUGCCCGGUGCCGGAAGGUUAAUUGAUGGGGUUAGCGCAAGCGAAGCUCUUGAUCGAAGCCCCGGUAAACGGCGGCCGUAACUAUAACGGUCCUAAGGUAGCGAAAUUCCUUGUCGGGUAAGUUCCGACCUGCACGAAUGGCGUAAUGAUGGCCAGGCUGUCUCCACCCGAGACUCAGUGAAAUUGAACUCGCUGUGAAGAUGCAGUGUACCCGCGGCAAGACGGAAAGACCCCGUGAACCUUUACUAUAGCUUGACACUGAACAUUGAGCCUUGAUGUGUAGGAUAGGUGGGAGGCUUUGAAGUGUGGACGCCAGUCUGCAUGGAGCCGACCUUGAAAUACCACCCUUUAAUGUUUGAUGUUCUAACGUUGACCCGUAAUCCGGGUUGCGGACAGUGUCUGGUGGGUAGUUUGACUGGGGCGGUCUCCUCCUAAAGAGUAACGGAGGAGCACGAAGGUUGGCUAAUCCUGGUCGGACAUCAGGAGGUUAGUGCAAUGGCAUAAGCCAGCUUGACUGCGAGCGUGACGGCGCGAGCAGGUGCGAAAGCAGGUCAUAGUGAUCCGGUGGUUCUGAAUGGAAGGGCCAUCGCUCAACGGAUAAAAGGUACUCCGGGGAUAACAGGCUGAUACCGCCCAAGAGUUCAUAUCGACGGCGGUGUUUGGCACCUCGAUGUCGGCUCAUCACAUCCUGGGGCUGAAGUAGGUCCCAAGGGUAUGGCUGUUCGCCAUUUAAAGUGGUACGCGAGCUGGGUUUAGAACGUCGUGAGACAGUUCGGUCCCUAUCUGCCGUGGGCGCUGGAGAACUGAGGGGGGCUGCUCCUAGUACGAGAGGACCGGAGUGGACGCAUCACUGGUGUUCGGGUUGUCAUGCCAAUGGCACUGCCCGGUAGCUAAAUGCGGAAGAGAUAAGUGCUGAAAGCAUCUAAGCACGAAACUUGCCCCGAGAUGAGUUCUCCCUGACUCCUUGAGAGUCCUGAAGGAACGUUGAAGACGACGACGUUGAUAGGCCGGGUGUGUAAGCGCAGCGAUGCGUUGAGCUAACCGGUACUAAUGAACCGUGAGGCUUAACCUUACAACGCCGAAG
rnacentral:rRNA from 1 species